ACAGGAUGUUGCUGAAGACAAAGACUGCGGAAACAGUGACAUCAAUGAACUCAGAGGCCAGAACUACAAAAGGAAAUGAGAAGUCACAAAAGGCAAAUUUUAAUUCCUUCAGAUUUCUUCUGUAUGUGCCAGGGUAUGGAGGGCCAUUCUGACUCCACAUAAACAUGAGGAAGAUUUUAACAACUAUCGUCUAAGAUUAAACAUGCAAUUUACAAAUCAUUGAUUGAGAUGACUUCUCCUUUCUAAUGGAUGCUUUCCUUUGGCUUUGACUUUCUUUGAUGGUUUUCUAUAAUUCAACCUCUAGAUUUGGAGAGCUAUUACCUAUUUGUCAAGUUUGUAGAAUAUAGAAGUGGAUGAUGUAGGCUCAAUGUUGGGGCUAUAAAUAACAGUAUUGCAAAUAAAUUUUAAAAAGUACCCCCUACCAAAACAUGUAUUUUCUGCAACGUAUGUUUGAGAUACUGUGCUUGUGACAGGUGAAAGGUAUACUCACCAUUCUUCUCUUGCUUCUUAAAGACAUGGGUAAUAAUUGGAUAAAUUAUAGAGUUAAGUAAAGGACAAACCAUUAGACUUGGCUGUACUAUAAAAGUGGGGAGCAGACAGUGAUUUGAAAUCACAGAGAAAAAUGUCAAAGCUUACUAAGGC
rnacentral:lncRNA from 1 species